UUGACAAAGUGGUCAUUGAGAGCAAUGCCAGUCCCCACAUUGGAGGUGGAAGAAUGUGUGUCACUGUUGAUGUCACAGGAGAUACCUGGUCCUCAGUGUAGCACAGGAUGCCCUUGAGGGAAUCCUCUGAUGCCUGCUUCACCACCUUCUUGAUGUCAUCAUAUUUG
rnacentral:lncRNA from 1 species